GCUCAGGAUGAACGCUAGCUACAGGCUUAACACAUGCAAGUCGAGGGGCAGCAUGGUCUUAGCUUGCUAAGGCCGAUGGCGACCGGCGCACGGGUGAGUAACACGUAUCCAACCUGCCGUCUACUCUUGGACAGCCUUCUGAAAGGAAGAUUAAUACAAGAUGGCAUCAUGAGUCCACAUGUUCACAUGAUUAAAGGUAUUCCGGUAGACGAUGGGGAUGCGUUCCAUUAGAUAGUAGGCGGGGUAACGGCCCACCUAGUCUUCGAUGGAUAGGGGUUCUGAGAGGAAGGUCCCCCACAUUGGAACUGAGACACGGUCCAAACUCCUACGGGAGGCAGCAGUGAGGAAUAUUGGUCAAUGGGCGUGAGCCUGAACCAGCCAAGUAGCGUGAAGGAUGACUGCCCUAUGGGUUGUAAACUUCUUUUAUAAAGGAAUAAAGUCGGGUAUGCAUACCCGUUUGCAUGUACUUUAUGAAUAAGGAUCGGCUAACUCCGUGCCAGCAGCCGCGGUAAUACGGAGGAUCCGAGCGUUAUCCGGAUUUAUUGGGUUUAAAGGGAGCGUAGAUGGAUGUUUAAGUCAGUUGUGAAAGUUUGCGGCUCAACCGUAAAAUUGCAGUUGAUACUGGAUAUCUUGAGUGCAGUUGAGGCAGGCGGAAUUCGUGGUGUAGCGGUGAAAUGCUUAGAUAUCACGAAGAACUCCGAUUGCGAAGGCAGCCUGCUAAGCUGCAACUGACAUUGAGGCUCGAAAGUGUGGGUAUCAAACAGGAUUAGAUACCCUGGUAGUCCACACGGUAAACGAUGAAUACUCGCUGUUUGCGAUAUACUGCAAGCGGCCAAGCGAAAGCGUUAAGUAUUCCACCUGGGGAGUACGCCGGCAACGGUGAAACUCAAAGGAAUUGACGGGGGCCCGCACAAGCGGAGGAACAUGUGGUUUAAUUCGAUGAUACGCGAGGAACCUUACCCGGGCUUAAAUUGCAGAUGAAUUACGGUGAAAGCCGUAAGCCGCAAGGCAUCUGUGAAGGUGCUGCAUGGUUGUCGUCAGCUCGUGCCGUGAGGUGUCGGCUUAAGUGCCAUAACGAGCGCAACCCUUGUUGUCAGUUACUAACAGGUUCUGCUGAGGACUCUGACAAGACUGCCAUCGUAAGAUGUGAGGAAGGUGGGGAUGACGUCAAAUCAGCACGGCCCUUACGUCCGGGGCUACACACGUGUUACAAUGGGGGGUACAGAGGGCCGCUACCACGCGAGUGGAUGCCAAUCCCAAAAACCUCUCUCAGUUCGGACUGGAGUCUGCAACCCGACUCCACGAAGCUGGAUUCGCUAGUAAUCGCGCAUCAGCCACGGCGCGGUGAAUACGUUCCCGGGCCUUGUACACACCGCCCGUCAAGCCAUGGGAGCCGGGGGUACCUGAAGUGCGUAACCGCGAGGAGCGCCCUAGGGUAAAACUGGUGAC
rnacentral:rRNA from 1 species